rnacentral:rRNA from 1 species
UACGUAGGGGGCAAGCGUUGUCCGGAUUUAUUGGGCGUAAAGAGCGUGUAGGCGGCCUUACAGGUCAGCUGUGAAACUCGAGGCUCAACCUCGAGACGUCGGUUGAAACCGUAAGGCUAGAGUCCGGAAGAGGAGAGUGGAAUUCCCGGUGUAGCGGUGAAAUGCGCAGAUAUCGGAAGAACGACCCGUGGCGAAGGCGGCUCUCUGGGACGGUACUGACGCUG